CCUCCACGUCCGCCUCGAGCGCCGUGCUGUCCGCCUCUCAUUACUCCUCCAGGUCCACCUGAUAUUGAACGAGUAACAAAUUAGAGAAAUUAUAGAAUGAUACAUUGGAAGUUGCGUCAACAAACUUGAGAAAGGUUAAAUUGACUGUAUCUGCAACAUUACCUGGGCCACGCUGCUGCUGCUGUUGUUGCUGUUGCUGUCCGCCCAUGGAACGUAUGCCACCAUCUCCGGAAUUCAAUCUUCCACCACUACCGUCCAGAGACAUUCUAGGCCUCACCUUUUUCUCUUCCACGUUCAAUUUCUGUCCACUCUCGUCAGGAUAGUAAAUAGGCUAAAAUGACAAUCGUAAUGAAAACAGGUAAAACGUCAUCUUCAUUCGAACGAAUUCGUCAUAGUUAUUUCAGAGACAUACGUACCAAAGAAUUCAACACCUUGGUAACAACCUGCUGAUCUUCGAAUGUGAUAAAACCGUAAUUAGGCACUCGCGCAGUAUUGUUUCCGCCUUGUGGACCCUUGCACCUGUCAUUCGAUUUACUGUGCACACGCAACUCCGCAACUCUUCCGUAACGCUCGAAUACCUGACGUAAAUCGCUUUCGGAUGCAUUGUGCGGUAGGUUGCCCAGGAAGAGUUGAUGAGCAUCGCUGUAUUGUCUUGUACCACGCCUUUCUCCAUCUAAGAAAUCAUUUUAUUCGUUAUUACGGUAAAUGAAAUAAAAACAUUUAUCGUUUAUCAUUCGUCACGAUCAUUAUUAUCAUGAAUUAUUCAGCGUUAUUACUCACGAGGCUAUCGUGCAUACGUUAGUAUGCUAGUACGAGAAAUAAGAUGCAAUAUAAUGGUCGAAGUAAAUUUUCGAUUCGCAAGAAUACAAAGCUACUCGUUGAUUUGAUACAACUAAAAAUUAAGUAAUUCUAAAAUUCAUUAAUUAAAAUCAAAAAAUAUAGAAGUCAAUGUAAAAUAAGAUACAAAUGUCAAUCUAAUGAACAUAUAUAAAUUAGAAAAAAUAUAUGCAGAUAAAAGUUACAAGUCGAAAAGUUUUGAUCAUUAUUGGUCAUCUUUAGACGAAUAUGCAAUAUCGAAAUCUUGGGUAACAGACAGCAUUACCAUCAAAGAUUGAUAUCUGAGAUUAUACAUAUAAAAGGUCAAAAUAGUGUUCUAAACGCACAAGACAGUGAAAUGUUACAUAAUAUUUACUUUUCGCUAUUGGACUUUGUAGACAUGUAAGAAAUGUUUGUUUUCGUCUAGUAUUCUUGUUCCUUUUCAAAUUUUUUUCAUGUAUCAUACUGCUAACUUGCUUUAUAUACCCUUGUUCGUUCCAUCACUUGAUAUUAGAUCUUUCUUCAAGUAACUAGUUUUAAUUCAAAUUAUUUCUGGACAUAUAAAAUAUAUCUAUCUCGACUACCUCCUCUCGGAACUCGUUGCUGCUGCGGAUGCUGCUGUUGUUGUGACGGUGGAUUUCCAACCCGGUGCGUCUGCUGCUGAACUGCAGUCACGUUGCCGGCAACAGUCAGCGUCGAUCCAUUGUUCGCAGGAUGCAACGGCGUUCUGUCGUCCAAGCGUAGAUUCGUCAUCGGCGGCUGUAAGAAGAGAGAAAAGGAAGGAGAUUAUUGCUGUCGUAUAGAAAGCGCGUUUACGUCACAUAACAGGAAUAAAAUUUACCGGAGAAGCAGGCAACUUGGGAGUUUGAGGACUCGUAGCGCCUGUGGUGCUUGGAUAAGACUUCACUAGGUUCGCGUAAGUCUUAGGCCCAUUGCUGUUAACGGCGACAUUGGAAACUGGCCGUUCCGGUUCAACUUCUUUCGGAGAGGAAGUUUCCGCCUCAGGUUUCUCGGUCCUCUCCUCCGUCGGGGUCUGCUGCUCGUCCUCGCUCUGCUGUUUUUGCUGCUCGCCGUUCCCGUCGUGUUCUUUCUCCUUCACGAACUGGGACUGCGCGGUCGGCUCAGCUAUGUACUGAUGUUGCUGGGCCGGAGGAGGCGGCGGCGGCUGUUGCUGCUGUGGAGGCGGUUGUUGAUUCAUCAGCGACGCCUCCUCGUGCACUGAUCCGUUCAAAACUUGUUGCAUUACUUGCUGCACCUGAUGAACCUGAAUGGUCGUGGAUACACACAACUAUAUUCAAUGUUAAAAUAUAUAAGUAGAACUAAGCAAAAAGCGUUGAAUUAUAUAUUUCCGAUCAAAAGUUCUUCCGUGACAUAAUUUCGACAAUUCUUUAGACAAAGUCUUUUGACAUAAUAUUAUAAUGAUCAAACAUAAUAUUAUAAUUAUCAAUUUUAAGAUUCUCGUCGAUGAAAAGAAACAAAAAAUAAAUGUAAAGUCUAUACAACAACAAUGCUAUACAACAAUGAAAAAUGCUUUCCACAGUGGUAAGCUAGAGCUUGAUUCAGCAAAGAGCAUAUUAAAAGUCGUACAAAUUCGACCGACACUCCCGUGGAAAAGGUGUCCACGACUAUCUUCUUACUGUCUAACUUAUAUUUAUUUAUAGUUUAACAAUAAUAAAUAUAUUUUGUAUA